AAUGGGUAAAGAAGCACCGGCUAACUACGUGCCAGCAGCCGCGGUGAUACGUAGGGUGCGAGCGUUGUCCGGAUUUAUUGGGCGUAAAGGGCUCGUAGGUGGUUGAUCGCGUCGGAAGUGUAAUCUUGGGGCUUAACCCUGAGCGUGCUUUCGAUACGGGUUGACUUGAGGAAGGUAGGGGAGAAUGGAAUUCCUGGUGGAGCGGUGGAAUGCGCAGAUAUCAGGAGGAACACCAGUGGCGAAGGCGGUUCUCUGGGCCUUUCCUGACGCUGAGGAGCGAAAGCGUGGGGAGCGAACAGGCUUAGAUACCCUGGUAGUCCACGCUGUAAACGGUGGGUACUAGGUGUGGGGUCCAUUCCACGGGUUCCGCGCCGUAGCUAACGCUUUAAGUACCCCGCCUGGGGAGUACGGCCGCAAGGCUAAAACUCAAAGGAAUUGACGGGGCCCCGCACAAGCGGCGGAGCAUGCGGAUUAAUUCGAUGCAACGCGUAGAACCUUACCUGGGUUUGACAUGGAUCGGGAGUGCUCAGAGAUGGGUGUGCCUCUUUUGGGGUCGGUUCACAGGUGGUGCAUGGCUGUCGUCAGCUCGUGUCGUGAGAUGUUGGGUUAAGUCCCGCAACGAGCGCAACCCUUGUUCACUGUUGCCAGCACGUUAUGGUGGGGACUCAGUGGAGACCGCCGGGGUCAACUCGGAGGAAGGUGGGGAUGACGUCAAGUCAUCAUGCCCCUUAUGUCCAGGGCUUCACGCAUGCUACAAUGGCUGGUACAGAGAGUGGCGAGCCUGUGAGGGUGAGCGAAUCUCGGAAAGCCGG
rnacentral:rRNA from 1 species